UAUUAUGAUGUGCGCCUGUCACAUUUCUUCCCUCUACCUCAUUUGUGUUCUCCACUGCUGUCAAAAUAUAGCUGUUAAACCCCUUGGGGGCACGGUCCUGUCUGUCUUCUUUUGUUGCUUUCCAAAACGCUUUGUGAUGCGCUUGUGCCCUGUGAAUGCAGGCGCUGAUAUGAUUGAGUUUGCUGUGACUGAGACCCGUCAGGCUUCUCAAAUCAAGCUGCCGAAGUCUACUGCAUAAUUUGCUUCUCAGGCAGCAGUGGGAAAGCCAUAGUUUGGCUUUUAUUUACUUACCUUGGGCAUUUGGGUGGCUUACAACAAGGUUAGAAGCAAGCUGAAAAUAACAGGCAAAAAUGCAUAACCGCAGCAUGAAAAGUAGCAAAGAUGAAAAGGUUAGGACUGAAGCAGGUGGAGAAGCCUGGGAAAACUGAAAGAUACAGCAUCUAAUUCACAAUAGAGCAUCAUCGUCGUCAUCAUCAUCAUCAUCAUCAUCAUCAUCAAUAUAUACAGCCCUUCAUCUGUAAAUCUCAAGGUGGUUCGCAACAUAAAAUUACAACAUAGAAAGGCUAUGUGAGCUGUUCUCAGGAAAGCAUUCUGUAGUUGGGGUGCCACCACCGAGAAGAUCCUUUCGCCCUAAAGGGACAUGGGCCUUGUUCCAUGUGGCACCCAAAAAACAGCUUCAGAAGGAGAUUGUAAGGCCUGCCAUCUGUAGAAGGGGUCCUUCAGCUAAGUUCUGUUUUGGAUGCAGGCCAUUAUUUGUAGUAGCCAUAGAUUACCCGGUUCAAGUAUGACAACAAAUUAUGUUUAGCAUUGACCAGGAAGUUUUUUUGUUUUUUUGUUUUUUGCGGGGAGAGGGGGGACAUACCAGUACUCAAGCAUGUCCCAGAUAGCCAGACCGUGACUGAAUUGGACCAAUAAAGCAUUUUGUGGAUGUGACACUGCCCUCAAAAGCAGAUUGCCUUUCUGUGCUCAAACUCGGGGAAGUAUUCUUGUGAGGCUUGAGAACUGCUGUAGCUCUGUGGUUAAUUUUUGGCAUGUGUGGUGAAGAGGAAAAGGUGUCUGACAAGGCCCUGGAGAGCUGCUGCCAGCCUGUGUAAACAAUACUGAGCUAGAUUGGCCGAUAGUCUGACUUAGUGGGAAAGCAGCUUCCUCCAGUGUUCCUAACUCCUCUCCCCCGUUCUUAAAAUGUGUGUGUUUUUGAGAAAUAUAUUUAAGGUGGCGGAGGAAGGAAACGAUUUCCUAAAUACUAGGCAUACAGAACUUGGCAGAUGCCUUCAGCUAUUAAAGCCAGAGGCACAUGAAACCUCCCUCUCUCCCGGUAUCACCUUUUCAUUUUAAGAUGGGGACCGAUUGGAUAAUAAAAACGAUUUUUCCGUCUCUUGUACACUUUCCCUGACUGACUUGCUUAAUUUAAGGUCUUUUUGGUCAACCCUUCUUCUCUCAGAUACAAAGAGGACCUCAGAUCCUGCCCCCUUCCCUUGCCUUGAGCCACCGAAUGACAAAUGAGCUUGGUGACCCUGUCACUUCCACUUGUGUUCGACAACAAAAACCAACUUCCUGAUUUCCAAAAAACCAUUCUAAGUCUGGAGCGGCCUCCACGCUAUUUCCUGUGCAUGCAGGGGGAGGAACAGUUUUGAAGUUACAUCAGCAGCAGGAGGAGGAAGGAUGUUGGCAUCAUACCGAGCUAUUGUGAACUGUUUUGUGCUGAAGGUGUACCAGGUGUGCAAGGACGAGACCAAGGUGGCCCACUUCAGGUUGCAGGUGACUUAAGGCCGUCUUUUAGAAUAAAAAUAGGUACGUAAUGGGAGGAAUUUGACCAUUCUAAGGGAGAACAUUUCUUCCUUCUGCGCCGGCUAUAGAGUCCUCCAGCCAAUGUUGCGUAGAGGUCAUUGUUGAACUAGAAGUGGAUUUAAGCCAUGAAGUUCACCUUAGGCUAGUCACUGUCCCUCGGCCUAAUCCUGUCUUUUAGGGUGGUUGUGAGCAGUGUUAGAAACUCAGGGUAUAUAAGCUAGGCACCAAAUGGCUCCUUAAAUCAAGGUUGCAGUCGCCAAAAUGGGAGGUCUACUUGCCAUUUUGGAGCAAGACGGCUCUAAAUUUUUAUUUUUCAAAAGAUAGAUUGGCUCUGAUCGAUUCUCAGUUAAACUUCUGGCUAGUUCAGAUGACCACCUUGAGCUAGGUUGGAGAACUUAAAAGGGAAAAGUCACGUGUUCCAGGGAUGGUCCUCAUAUCUGUGGGGACACAGACCAUUCAUAAUGUCAGAAUUGGAGAGGAUUUGAUUUAAAUCAAUCAAUUUAAAUCACGAUUUAAGUCACUAGUCAUUAAGACUUGAUUUAAAUCAUUUUUUUUACAGAAAGACUCAUUCUUGCUGGUGUAAUCUUAAUAUUUACAACCAGAUGAAAGUUUCAUUUUUGGAAUAACAUAGACAGAUACAGUCGUACCUCGGCUCCUGAAUGCUUUGGGAGUUGAAUGUUCUGGCUUCCGAAAGAUCAAAAAUUGGAAGUGAGUGUUCCGGUUUUCGAGCGUUCUUUUGGAAGCUGAAUGUCCUGUAGCCAAUCGGAAGCCACGCUUUGGAAGUCAAACGUUUUGGAAGUCGAAUGGACUUCUGGAAUGGAUUCUGUUCGACUUCCGAGGUAUGACUGUCGUUAUGAAAUUAUUGUGAGGUUUAAUAAGUUAACCGUUUAUAUUUGGACAACUUUUCUGCUGUACUUUAUUGGAAGGAGAAAAAUAACCAUUUCCUUAAUAACAAUUUAAACAAUUUAUUUAACUAAAACAAUAACAUGGAUACAGGAUAUGUAUCCAUGUUUGUUAACUGAUGUGGUUAAAGAAUAAUAAUAAUAAAACCUUACACUGAGUUUCAGCACACAUGAAAGACUUAAAACAAAUCCUUAUUUCCUGAUGAAUAGCCUUUGCACUAUAAUGUAACUUAAGCAGAAAACUAUCUUUAGAAAGAUUUUUCCUCCAGAAGCAUUUUAUU